AGGCGGUGACCGUGGCGGUGUAGGUGAAAGUGGUGGUGGAGGAGGAGGAUGAGGUAGCUAACAAUUUUUUUUAUAAAUAUAUAUAUAUAUAUAUAUUUUUUUUUUAAUUGGGGUAGCCCCCAAAAUAUUGGGACAUAUAAAAAAAGAAAAUUCUGUUCCUCAGAGUAGCUGUUGACAUUAUAGUUGCACAGGCACUUUGUUGACUCUAGAGAACCUCGGGCCAAUUGCACAUCCCCGUGACGGCGACUUUGCAUUCGGAUGUCAUCCAUAUCAACUUUCGAUGCCAGUUUCUGUGCCUACCAUGGUGACCAUGGGUAACGGGGAAUCAGGGUUCCAAUCCGUACAGGGACCCUAAGAAACGGAUACCACAUGCAAGGAAGGCAGCAGGCGCGCAAAUGACCCACUCCCGACGCGGGAAGGUAGUGACGGCAAAUAACAAUACAGGACUCUUUAGAGGCCCUGUAAUUGUAAUGAGUCCACUUGAAAUCCUUUAACUCUGAUCAAUUGGAGGGAAGUCUGGUACAAAGCCACUGACCCAUGCGUGCUGCAGCUGAAACUCCACUAUCGCCU
rnacentral:rRNA from 1 species